GGAGAAGUGGCCGAGUGGCUGAAGGCGCCUCCCUGCUAAGGAGGUAUACGGGGUCAACCUGUAUCGAGGGUUCGAAUCCCUCCUUCUCCG
rnacentral:tRNA from 1 species